UGCCAGCCGCCGCGGUAAUACGUAGGGUGCGAGCGUUGUUCGGAAUUACUGGGCGUAAAGGGCGUGCAGGCGGAUUGGCAAGCCGGAGGUGAAAGCCCGGGGCUCAACCCCGGAGGGUCUUUCGGAACUGCCAGUCUUGAGAGGGUCAGGGGCCAGCGGAAUUCCUGGUGUAGAGGUGAAAUUCGUAGAGAUCAGGAGGAACACCGGCGGCGAAAGCGGCUGGCUGGGGCCACUCUGACGCUGAGGCGCGAAAGCGUGGGGAGCAAACAGGAUUAGAUA
rnacentral:rRNA from 1 species